UACGUAGGGGGCAAGCGUUGUCCGGAAUCAUUGGGCGUAAAGCGCGUGUAGGCGGCUCGAUAAGUCUGCUGUGAAAGUCCAGGGCUCAACCCUGGGAUGCCGGUCGAUACUGCCGGACUAGAGUUCGGAAGAGGCGAGUGGAAUUCCCGGUGUAGCGGUGAAAUGCGCAGAUAUCGGGAGGAACACCAAUGGCGAAGGCAGCUCGCUGGGACGUUACUGACGCUGAGACGCGAAAGCGUGGGGAGCAAACAGG
rnacentral:rRNA from 1 species